ACAGCUUUUCUCUUCCUUGAACCAGGAGGCGAGUAUGAAUAGAGAAGGACAGAGAGAUGGAGGCUGCUUUUCUCUUGCUGGAAAGAUGUGGAGUGCAUAAGGCCAUGCAUACAGGAAUACAAAUGGGAAUAAGAGGGCAGCAAACACCUAGGAAGAAGAUCUGAAUAAAGAGGAACCAUCUGCAUAAAGAAUCACCCAGGCUUUCCUUCCUUUCCAGAAAUCACAGAUGUCUUUUUCUAGUGAUCUCUGCUCAUUGUUCUCAGAGCAUCAUCCUGCUUCUACCAGUGAGGACUCACUGACACCAUGCAAAACUUGAUGGACUUAGGAAGAGG